GAGAACUUUAUGGGGCAUGAGUCGUGUGGAAUGGUGACGUGUGUAGAUGAACGGGCCAGGUGAGUAGCUCCAUGUCACAUAACCACCGAUCACCAGGCUGCCGGCGGGCAGAAUCGUACCGGCAGCGAACAGAAGAUCUGCAGGGAUUAAGGAGAGAAAGUCUGAAGACCCAAGAGAUCCGGUCACAUGCGCCUGGGUGGGCGCCUGUUUCAGGCCCGACGGUGACGCAAGCGGAAAACACGCUGCUUUGUGAAGCUCGGACACCAUCACCUGCUUAUGAACACGUGCAGACACGGAGCCAAAGCUCAUCGAGGGACGAUUAGACAUAAGUGCCGUUAAAGUGGACGAUGAGUCAUUUGACAGGAAAAUUGGUGCAAUCUGGGUCCAGAAUUCAAUUGUGAACACAAUGUUUCCAUUAUCGGUUAUUUAUCCCUUGGAACUCUGACGUCACGAUGGAUGGAUGGUUACGUUUUACGCAAAUAAACUGCCCAC
ensembl:lncRNA